rnacentral:rRNA from 1 species
UACGUAGGGGGCGGGCGUUGUCCGGAAUCAUUGGGCGUAAAGCGCGUGUAGGUGGCCCGACAAGUCUGGUGUGAAAUCUUGAGGCUCAACCUCAAGCUGUCAUUGGAAACUGUCGGGCUUGAGUCCGGAAGAGGAGAGUGGAAUUCCUGGUGUAGCGGUGGAAUGCGCAGAUAUCAGGAGGAACACCAAUUGCGAAGGCAGCUCGCUGGGACGUUACUGACGCUGAGACGCGAAAGCGUGGGAGAACAAGAUGAUAACCGAACCGUAGUCAGACCAAG